UACGUAGGGUGCGAGCGUUGUCCGGAAUUAUUGGGCGUAAAGGGCUCGUAGGUGGCUUGUUGCGUCUGCCGUGAAAGCCCGUGGCUUAACUACGGGUCUGCGGUGGAUACGGGCAGGCUAGAGGCUGGUAGGGGCAAGCGGAAUUCCUGGUGUAGCGGUGAAAUGCGCAGAUAUCAGGAGGAACACCGGUGGCGAAGGCGGCUUGCUGGGCCAGUUCUGACGCUGAGGAGCGAAAGCGUGGGGAGCAAACAGG
rnacentral:rRNA from 1 species